GACGAACGCUGGCGGCGUGCUUAACACAUGCAAGUCGAGCGGUAAGGCCCUUUCGGGGUACACGAGCGGCGAACGGGUGAGUAACACGUGGGUGACCUGCCCUUAGCUCUGGGAUAAGCCUGGGAAACUGGGUCUAAUACCGGAUAUGACUCCAUGACGCAUGUUGUGGGGUGGAAAGCCUUGUGCGGCUAGGGAUGGGCCCGCGGCCUAUCAGCUUGUUGGUGGGGUGAUGGCCUACCAAGGCGACGACGGGUAGCCGGCCUGAGAGGGCGACCGGCCACACUGGGACUGAGACACGGCCCAGACUCCUACGGGAGGCAGCAGUGGGGAAUCUUGCGCAAUGGGCGAAAGCCUGACGCAGCGACGCCGCGUGAGGGAUGACGGCCUGG
rnacentral:rRNA from 1 species